UGGGGAAUCUUGGACAAUGGGGGCAACCCUGAUCCAGCCAUGCCGCGUGAGCGAUGAAGGCCUUAGGGUUGUAAAGCUCUUUCACCGGUGAAGAUAAUGACGGUAGCCGGAGAAGAAGCCCCGGCUAACUCCGUGCCAGCAGCCGCGGUAAUACGGAGGGGGUUAGCGUUGUUCGGAAUUACUGGGCGUAAAGCGCACGUAGGCGGACCAGAAAGUUGGGGGUGAAAUCCCGGGGGCUCAACCCCGGAACUGCCUCCAAAACUAUUGGUCUAGAGUUCGAGAGAGGUGAGUGGAAUUCCAAGUGUAGAGGUGAAAUUCGUAGAUAUUUGGAGGAACACCAGUGGCGAAGGCGGCUCACUGGCUCGAUACUGACGCUGAGGUGCGAAAGUGUGGGGAGCAAACAGGAUUAGAUACCCUGGUAGUCCACACCGUAAAACGAUGAAUGCCAGUCGUCGGGUAGCAUGCUAUUCGGUGACACACCUAACGGAUUAAGCAUU
rnacentral:rRNA from 1 species